GAUUUCUUGUCAGAAACAUUUCCAAGCAUUUGAUUCUAAUAUUAUCAUUGCCACUUUGCCAAAAUGUGGCACUACUUGGCUUAAAGCUUUGACUUUCUCCACUUUGUACCGCAAUCAGUUCGCAAGGGAAAAUAAUCCCUUGCUCACCUAUAACCCUCACUCUCUUGUUCGCUUCAUUGGUUAUGACUUCUAUUUCAACGACAGUUGUCCUGAUCUCGAAAAUUGUACACUUUAUCAGCCAAGACUUUUUUCUAUCCACUUGCCUUAUGCUUCUUUGCCAACUUCCAUUAAAGAUUCCAACUAUAAGAUUGUUUACUUAUGUAGAAACCCCAUGGACACACUCAUUUCUUUUUGGUCUUUCUUUUCCAGGCUUUGAGGUGAAGGCUUUGAGCCAGUAUCACUAGACGAAGCUUUUGAGAUGUUCUGCCAAGGAAUCAUUCAAUUUGGACCAUUUUUCGAUCAUGUGUUAGGGUAUUAGAGGGCAAGCCAAGAAAGAUCGAGCAAAAUAUUGUUUUUACAGUAUGAAUAUCUCAAGGAAGACAUCAAUUCUCACCUAAAAAAGUUGGCAAUGUUUUUGGGGGUUCCUUUCACUGAGGAAGAAGAGAAACAAGGAGUUGUUGAAGAAAUUGCGAAAAUUUGCAGCUUUGAGAACAUGAAAGACUUGGAAGUGAAUAAGAAGGGCAUGCAAACUUUUGGGUAUCCACAAGAAACUUUCUCAAGGAAAACAAAGACUUUUGAGGUUCCAUGUGAAGCUUUCUUCAGAAAAGCAAAAAUGGGAGAUUGGAGCAAUUAUCUCACACCCUUCAUGGUUGAACGUCUAGAGAAACUUAUUAAAGAGAAAUUGGAAAACUCUGGUUUAACAUUUAAAUUGUUCUCUAAAACUUCAAAAGAUAUUACUUCUACAUGAUCAGGGAUGUAUGUCUAUUGGCUUUAAUUUAUGAUGAAUAAAUUCCAUAUUUGCAUGUAGAGAGUCUUUCCCUCGCAAAAUAAGGUUAUAUAAUAAUAUUGAGGUUAAGAUAUGCUUUUAGUCCCUAUGUCUAUCCAGAAUUUGAGAUUUAGUUACUAUAUUUUAAAACUUAAAAUUUUAAGCCUCUUAUUUUUUCAAUUUAACGAGUUUAAUCUAAUCAUUAUCAUUGUUUGUAAUUUCUGUCAAGACUUGUCAACUUAAUAUGUUUCUUUUUUUGUCAAUCAUGUGCAAUGUCAUAAGAAGGCAAUCUAAUUAGCAUGCCGAAUUGGCAAAUUUUGAUGGGAAAUACUAAUAAUGUUAAUGAUUGGAUUGAAAUUUUUAAAUAAAAAAUUAAAAGAAUUUCACUAUCAACUAUUUAAAUAUAAUGACUAAAUUUCAGAUCUUGUCUAUAUAUAGGGACCCAAUAUUAUUCCAAGGACAUGUAAUAUAGUUAUCUUAUUGUAAGGUUAUGGUUUACGAAUAUCUAUAUAUCUAGAUAUAAUAAAACCAACUCGUUUGAGAGCCCACUAGGAAUAAAUGGUGCUAUUGUGAUAAGUUGUUAAGAGUAAAUAAGUUUAUUGUUGUGAUUUUAAAUUAUUUUUCACAUAAUUUUUGUAAUUGAUUAUCUGUUUAAAAUUGUUAAGUAAAAAAAAACUAAAGAGAUUUUCUCAAAAAUAAAACCAAUUAACUAAUCACGCAAAGUAACCAAAAACAUAUCACCACUUCGCUUAUGCAAAGACUCAAAAACGGGACUAAAGAAUAUAGAGAAGCUUAACUAGUGAAUCAACAGGCUUAUUCUUGAUACAAAAGACAGAGAAUUGAACGUAAAGAAGGGACCUAGGCUAAGGUUCAAAUAAAUAAAUUACAAAUUACAAAAUUAGUACAACUUGAAUCUCAAUCACAAGUAAGCAAACAAAACACACAACCACAAAAGCAUAUAUAUAUAUAUAUAUAUUUAUUUGUUUAGCUCUAUUAUUAUUAUUAUUAUUAUUUUGUUUAACUUUAUCAUCAAUCAGAUUUCCCUUUCCAUACCCUACCAACCACCACCUGCUGUUGUGUUCAGUGUUACCAGAUUUACUCUAGUCUUCCUCUCCACAUUCUUUCAAUACAUCUCAUUUACUUGUCUGCAAUAUUUUCUCUUUCCAUAACAAAAAAAAAACUCUCUAGACACUAUUAAUGAUUUAAUGGAAUAAUAAUCAAAAUAUUGAAUGCGGAUAGCAUUAGAGACAAAAAUAAUUUUUUUUAGACUUGAAUGAUAAACUAAAACACUUUAAUUAAUAAUUAAGCGAAUACUGGUCUAUAUCUAAAAGUUAAAAAAUAUAAAAACAAAUUUUAUUAAUCAAAUAAUAUCUUAAAAGGAUAACGAACGCAAACAUAUGUUCACAAUCAUUGCACAAAUGAAUUUAAUAAUGCAAUUCAGCAUUAAAGUUUAAUAAUGCAACCAUUCGGCUAAAGACGAAGAUAAUUUCAGUGGUGCAAGAUCUUCUGUAUCCCACAGCAUUAAAUUUUGAUUGCAUUUCCCGUUUGAUAAUAUAAAAUAAAGGAGAUGAUGACCCAAUUUUUAAACGUUUUUAUUUUAGGUAAUAAAAAAAAGUUGUUGAUUAUUUUGACUACUUCCUUUAAAAUUGUAAAUGAAAAUAUAUAUGAAAUUAAUUUUAAAAUUUAGAUUUUUCACACAAUUUAAAAAAAAUAAAAAUUUACCAUUUUAGUCUUCAAUCUUUUAAUAUAAGUGAGGUUUAACUCUUUUCUUAACAAAUUGGGAAUAACAACCACAUCAUCUAUGAAAAAUGGCCUCCUCUUUCAUCUGCUUCGUUGAUUGGAGCAAUGCGUCAUCGUUGCCGCUAACUCUUUGUGGUAGAGGUGACAAAAGUUCGAAAAAAAAUUAAAGGAUAGUAUUAAAACAUCAGACUCAAGAAGGAAAAGAAGAUUGAAAAUAGUCUUUUUUUACGUGUAUAUUAUAAAAAAAAUUAAUAUCAAAACGUUAACAGUGCGCGCGUCACCGUCGACGCUGACUCUUUGUAGUAGAGGUGACAAAAAAUAAAAAAAAAUUAAAAGAUAGUAUUGAAACAUCAAAUUCAAAAAGAAAAAAAAAGAUUGAAAAUAUUAAAUACAAUGUUGAAGUUUCCAAGUCUACCAUUCGCCUCUUCACUUCAAGAUGAUUUACAAAUAAUUUUCUUUUAAAGUCUAUGCUUUUUCUCUUUUUUGUAAUAGUUGUAAUAGUAAAGCUAGAAUUUUUAUACAAAUUUCUAGAUUUUUUAUAUUUGUGAGGAUUUAAGUUUUAGGCAUGGGUUAUUUUUUCUGAAAACUUUGUUAAGUGCUUUGAAUGGUUGCCAAUUCCCCCAUGCCUCUAAUAUUUACAUAACAACAAUGAAAACUCUAAUUAUUAUAUGCCACAAUUAUUACUAGUUAAGGAAGCAGAGCAUGUUAUUUAUGCCCUAAAGACAUUGGAAUUUACUGUGAAUUUUUCAAAUGGUUGUUGUUCUCAAUUUGUUAAGGUGAGAGGUAAACCUCGUUUAUAUAAAAAUAUUGGGACAAAAAUGAACAUUUUUAUAUUAUUUAAAUACCUGAAAAAUUAAAAUUUUAGAAAUAAUUUCACGUUAGAUCUCUGUUCACCAUUUUAAUAUAAGUGAGUAAACUAAUCCAACACAUAUACCUAUUUUUUCGGAUGGCUAAAAUAAAAACAUUUGAAAAUUGGGCGUUUACCCUAAAAUAAAUUAUUAAAACAUAAAAUAUUUGAUAUGGUCUCUUUUUGGUCUACUCCACAAAACUUGCUACAUAAACAGAAAACUAGUUUUGAAUGUUGUUUUUCUUAUCCCUUUCUCAACCAGCUGCCUGUUUCACCAUGGAGAAAACAGAUAUGUGCAACUCUAGCGUCGUUUCCACCUCCCAUGAUGUUGAGGAGUCUUGCGAUGAUGAAUUCCAACAACUGGUGCAAACCUUCCCUAAAGAUAAAAGCUUCACAGGAAUGAAUCUUUACUUCUUCCAAGGUUUCUGGUGCCCAUCAAUUAUUUUAAAAGCUGUGAUUUCUUGUCAGAAACAUUUCCAAGCAUUUAAUUCUGAUAUUAUCAUCGCCACUUUGCCAAAAUGUGGCACUACUUGGCUUAAAGCUUUGACUUUCUCCACUUUGUACCGCAAUCAGUUCGCAAGGGAAAAUAAUCCCUUGCUCACCUAUAACCCUCACUCUCUUGUUCGCUUCAUUGAUUUUGACUUUUAUUUCAACGACACUUGUCCUGAUCUCGAAAAUUAUACUCUUUAUCAGCCAAGACUUUUUUCUAUCCACUUGCCUUAUGCUUCUUUGCCAACUUCCAUUAAAGAUUCCAACUGUAAGAUUGUUUAUUUAUGUAGAAACCCCAUGGACACGCUCAUUUCUUUUUGGUCUUUCCUUUCCAGGCUUCGAGGCGAAGGCUUUGAGCCAGUAUCACUAGAUGAAGCUUUUGAGAUGUUCUGCCAAGGAAUCAAUGAAUUUGGACCAUUUUUCGAUCAUGUGUCAGGGUAUUGGAGGGCAAGCCAAGAAAAAUCGAGCAAAAUAUUGUUUUUACAAUAUGAAGAUCUUAAGGAAGACAUCACUUCUCACCUAAAAAAGUUGGCAAUGUUUUUGGGGGUUCCUUUCACUGAGGAAGAAGAGAAACAAGGAGUUGUUGAAGAAAUUGCGAAAAUUUGCAGCUUUGAGAACAUGAAAGACUUGGAAGUGAAUAAGAAAGGUGAGCAAACUUUUGGGUAUCCACAAGAAACUUUCUCAGGGAAAACAAAGACUAUUGAGAUUCCACGUGAAGCUUUCUUCAGAAAAGCAAAAACGGGAGAUUGGAGCAAUUAUCUCACACCCUCCAUGGCUGAACGUCUAGAGAAACUUAUUCAAGAGAAAUUGGAAAACUCAAGUUUAACAUUUAAAUUGUUCUCUAAAACUUCAAAAGAUAUUACUUCUACAUGAUCAGGGAUGUAUGUCUAUUGGCGUUAAUUUAUGAUGAAUAAAUUCCAUAUUUGCAUGUAGAGAGUCUUUCCCUCGCAAAAUAAGGUUAUAUAAUAAUAUUGAGGUUAAGAUAUGCUUUUAGUCCCUAUAUUUAUCCAGAACUUGAGAUUAAGUUACUGUAUUUUAAAAGUAAAAAUUUUAAGCCUCUUACUUUUUCAAUUUAAAGAUUUUAAUCUAAUCAUUAUCAUUAUCAUUAUCAUUGUUUGUAAUUUCCGUCAAGACUUGUCAACUUAACAUGUUUAUAUUUUUGUCAGUCAUGUGCAAUGUCAUAAGAGGGCAAUCUAAUUAGCAUGACGAGUAGGCAAAUUUUGAUGAAAAAUACUAAUAAUGUUAAUGAUAGGAUUGAAAUUUUUAAAUAAAAAAUUAAAAGAAUUUCACCUUCAACUAUUUAAAUAAUUUUAAUCUUAUAUUUGUUUAAGUUUACGUUUUGAUCAUCGAUCUUUCAAGUGUUACAUAAAUGUCAUGGACAUUAUCGUUUGAUAACAAUUUAGUCACUAUAUCGUUACCCAUUGUUAUUUUAGCAAAGAUGCUAUAAUAAUACAUAAUCCAUAGCGAUUUGCAAGUUCAAAGGAUAUAAUCUUGCAUAUAUAUAUAUAUAUAUAUAUAUUAGUUUGUAUUUUGUGUGAUGCUUGAAUUGGUUGUGUAUAUUAAUUAUCCAGUUUUGUAACUUCCUUUUUCAAAAAUCUAUAAAGAGAAGUCCUCCACAACUAGUGGAGAGACCUUUGGAUAUUUUGGAAAUUUGACUCUCGAGCUCUAUCUAAAAUUCUCUCAACUUAUUAUUAUUUUUGUUUAGCUUUAUCAUCAAUCAGAUUUAGCUUUCUAUACCCUAUCAACCACCACCACUUGCUGUUGCGUUCAGUAUUACUAGAUUUACUCUAGUCUUUCUCUUCACCUUCUUUCAAUACAUCUCAUUUACUUGUCUGCAAUGUUUUCUCUAUCCAUUAAAAAAAUUCUCUACACACUAUUAAUGAUUUAAUAGAAUAAUAAUCAAAAUAUUGAAUGCGGAUAGCAUUAGAGACAAAAAUAAAUUUUUUUAGACUUGAAUGAUAAAUAAAACACUUUAAUUAAUAAUUAAGCGAAUACUGGUCUAUAUCUAAAAGUUAAAAAAAAUAAAAACAAAUUAUAUUAAUCAAAUAAUAUCUUAAAAAGGAAUUUAAUAAUGCAACCUUUUGGCUAAAGAUAAAGAUAAUUUCAGCAUUAAUGUUUAAUAAUGCAACCUUCUGGCAAAAGAUGAAGAUAAUUUCAGCAUUAAAGUUUAAUAAUGCAACCAUUCGGCUAAAGACGAAGAUAAUUUCAGUGGUGCAAGAUCUUCCGUAUCCCACAGCAUUAAAUUUUGAUUGCAUCUCCCAUUUGAUAAUAUAAAAUAAAGGGGAUGAUGACCCAAUUUUUAAACGUUUUUAUUUUAGGUAAUAAAAAAAGGUUUUUCAUUAUUUUAACUACUUCCAUUAAAAUUUUAAAUCAAAAUAUAUAUGAAAUUAUUUUUAAAAUUUUGAUUUUUCACACAAUUUUAAAAAAAUAAAAAUUUACCAUUUUAAUCUUCGAUCUUUUAAUAUAAGUGAGGUUUCUCAACAAAUUGGGAACAAUAACCACAUCAUCUAUCAAAUAUGGCCUCCUCUUUCAUCUGCUUCGUUGAUUAGAGCAAUGCGUCACCAUCAACGCUGACUUUUUGUAGUAGAGGUGACAAAAAAUCGAAAUAAAAAAUUAAAAGAUAGUAUAGAAACAUCAAAUUCAAAAAGAAAAAGAUUAAAAAUAUUAAAGACAAUGUCAAAGUUUCCAAGUCUACUAUUCCCCUCUUCACUUCAAGAUGAUUUACAAAUAAUUUUCUUUUAAAGUCAAUGCUUUUUCUCUUUUUUGUAAUAACUGUAAUAGUAAAGCUAGAAUUUUAUACAAAUUUUUGGAUUUUUUUAUAUCUGUGAAGAUUUAAGUUUUAGGCAUGGGUUAUUUUUUUGGAUACUGUUGUUAAGUGCUUUGAAUGGUUGCCAAUUCCCCCAUGCCUCUAAUAUUUGCAUAAGAACAAUGAAAACCCUAACUAUUAUAUGCCACAAUUAUUACUAGUUAAGGAAGCAAAGCAUGCUAUUUAUGCCCUAAAGACAUUAGAAUUUACUGUGAAUUUUUUACAGAGGAUAUGGUUGUUGUUCUCAAUUUGUUAAGGUGAGGUAAACCUCAUUUAUAUAAAAAGAUUGGGACUAAAAUGAUGAUUUUUAUUUCAUUUAAAUAUGUGAAAAAUCAAAAUUUUAGAAAUAAUUUCACGUUAGAUCUCUAUUUAUCAUUUUAACAAGAGUAAUUAAACUGAUCCAACCAGUGUAACUAUUUUUUCGGAUGCUUAUCUUUAAAACUUUUGAAAAUGAGGCGUUUACCCUAAAAUAAAUUAUUAAAGCAUAAAAUAUUUGAUAUGGUCUUUUUUGGUCCGCCCCACAAAACUUGCUAUAUAAAUAGAAAACUAGUUUUGAAUGUUGUUUUCCUUAUCCCUUUCUCGACCAACUACUUGUUUCACCAUGGAUAAAAUAGAUAUGAGCAACCCCAGCAUGGUUUCCACCUCCCAUGAUGUUGAGGAGUCUUGGGAUGAUGAAUUCCAACAACUGGUGCAAACCUUCCCUAAAGAUAAAAGCUUCACAGGAAUGAAUCUUUACUUCUUCCAAGGUUUCUGGUGUCCAUCAAUUGUUCUAAAAGCUGUGAUUUCUUGUCAGAAACAUUUCCAAGCAUUUGAUUCUGAUAUUAUCAUCGCAACUUUGCCAAAAUGUGGCACUACUUGGCUUAAAGCUUUGACUUUCUCCACUUUGUACCGCAAUCAGUUCGCAAGGGAAAAUAAUCCCUUGCUCACCUAUAACCCUCACUCUCUUGUUCGCUUCAUUGAUUAUGACUUCUAUUUCAACGACACUUGUCCUGAUCUCGAAAAUUGUACUCUUUAUCAGCCAAGACUUUUUUCUAUCCACUUGCCUUAUGCUUCUUUGCCAACUUCCAUUAAAAAUUCCAACUGUAAGAUUGUUUACUUAUGUAGAAACCCCAUGGACACGCUCAUUUCUUUUUGGUCUUUCUUUUCCAGGCUUCGAG
rnacentral:lncRNA from 1 species